AGAUGUGGGUACUAUGAGGUUAAAUGUGGCUGAAAAUGGAAUGCUUUUAACUGAAGAAAAUAAGGGAGACCUAAAUGAAGGUUCUUUGGUUUCUGCAGUUAGAGUUAUCAAGAGGAAGGGUGUCCUUGGCCAGCCAAAGGGUUCAAAGAAUAAAAAGAAAACUAUUAUAAGCAGCUCCAGUGAUGUUUAUUCUGGUCAUGGAGUUGGAGCGAUGAAUAGUAGUAAGGAACAUGAGAAUAAAAUGGCGAGCUUAGCAACUGAUCACAUGGUGGGGAUACUGAGUGAAGUUACUAUUACUAAGAUAGAUAGCUGCAGCCUGCCCCAAGGUUUGCAUAAUGAGAAUAAGAUUAUUGAAUCUGGCGAGAAUCAGCAUGCAAUUGUUGACGCUGCUGAAGAUGGCACCAGAAAGGUGGUUAAGAAGAAGAGAUGCCGAGGAAGGGUGAAAAAUUCAGAGAAUAAGAAACAAGCUGCAGUUAGGCGAGGGAGGCCAAAGGGCUUGAAAAACAAAAGAAUGGCAGGUGAAAUUGCUACUGUUACUAAUGUGGUAAAUUUGAGCAUAAAGCGAA
rnacentral:misc_RNA from 1 species